AGAGGCAGACGGUAUUUCCGGGGUAGGGGUGAAAUCCUAUAAUCCCGGGAAGACCNCCAGUGGCGAAGGCUGUCUGNUAGAACGCGCCCGACGGUGAGGGAUGAAAGCUGGGGGAGCGAACCGGAUUAGAUACCCGGGUAGUCCCAGCUGUAAACGAUGCAGGCUAGGUGUUUGGGCGGCCACGUGCCGCUCUAGUGCCGCAGGGAAGCUGUUAAGCCUGCCGCCUGGGGAGUACGAUCGCAAGGUUGAAACUUAAAGGAAUUGGCGGGGGAGCACCACAAGGGGUGAAGCUUGCGGUUUAAUUGGANUCAACGCCGGAA
rnacentral:rRNA from 1 species